CCCCAACUCUACGGGGACUCGGGCCCUAGGCCGAGGAUCUUCUUAAUGCAUCAUCCCAGCCAUGCACGACCCUGGGUUUUGCAAGAAAGACCCCCGAGCAGCAGCGCAGGCUUCUGGAGAAUGCAAGCUCCCACCUGGCCUAGGCGUCCGGCUCCGCUGCGGAACGCGAAGUUCCCCUGCCCCCGCGGGAGGUGGGAGGGCGCUGCGGAAAAGCAGUCCUCCGCAUUUCGUCUCAGGCCACCGGAUCAGGGCUGAAGCCAGCCCAAGCGGACCCCUCCCCAUCCCCACCCGCCCGCCGGCAGGACCCAGGUCAGCGUCUUACAACUCUUCAUUAUGAAGUGCGUGUAGUGCCCUUGUCUCCAGAGACGCGAAGAGUCCUCGAGGCCCC